GUGGGGAAUUUUCCGCAAUGGGCGAAAGCCUGACGGAGCAAUCUCGCGUGAGGGAUGACGGCCUAUGGGUUGUAAACCUCUUUUUUCAGGGAGGAAUAAAAUGACGUGUACCUGAAGAAUAAGCAUCGGCUAACUCCGUGCCAGCAGCCGCGGUAAGACGGAGGAUGCAAGUGUUAUCCGGAAUCACUGGGCGUAAAGCGUCUGUAGGUGGUUUAAUAAGUCAACUGUUAAAUCUUGAGGCUCAACCUCAAAAUCGCAGUCGAAACUAUUAGGCUAGAGUAUAGUAGGGGUAAAGGGAAUUUCCAGUGGAGCGGUGAAAUGCGUAGAGAUUGGAAAGAACACCGAUGGCGAAGGCACUUUACUGGGCUAUUACUAACACUCAGAGACGAAAGCUAGGGUAGCAAAUGGG
rnacentral:rRNA from 1 species